CUAAAGCCAAAGAACUAAGUGUUUUCUCUCCUCCAGAAAGGUUGAAGAUCUUCUUCCAACUUUUCUUAGGUGGUCGAACGCUGAACAUGAUUCCUUCAGAGAAAGGAUCCAAGCUGUCUACAAGCUCCAGUUCAGUGUCCCCUCCCAAGACAAAGAAUGGACUUGAAAUUCCUGCAGCAUCAUUGGUGCCAUGACUUGGAUUGCCUCAGAUCCAUUGGAAAGGUUCAUGCAAUGGGAGAACAAAUAGAAGACCAGGAUACAUUCUGGAGUCAGAGGAGAGAAUUGAGUGUCAGAGAAAUUGACUGGACUGCCUGAGGUGUUGGAUGAUGAAAAAAAGCUUGAAGAUGCUGAUGAUAUAGGAAAUAACCUCAUUGAAAUUACUCAUGGUCAGAUGAGUAUAAAAGAGAUCAGCAUGCAGAGCAUCAGGAUGUGGGAAAGUUCACUUGAAUCAUUUGACUUGGACCAUUUUCUGCCUUUGUUACUUUGCCCAUCAUUUAGCCAUCUAUCCCUUUACAUCCUAAGUGGGAAUAUUGAAGACACACUGAAUGAUCAUGCCUCAAGGUGAUAUAAAUGAAGUGGAGGAAGAUAAGCAGAGAACCUGAACUGCAGUGUAUGGAAACUGGAAGAAGUCCAGCUCUCUACUGUGUCCCAGGAGGGCAGUGGAGGAUGGCCCAAGUGCUUGGACCCUGCACCCACAUGGGAGAACAGGAGGAAGCACCUGGCUCCUGGCUUCGGAUCAGCAGCCAUUUGGGGGGUGAACCAACAGAAGGAAGACCUUUCUCUCUGUCUGUAACUCUACCUGUCAAAUAAAAAAAUAAAACUAUACAGAAAGAAAGGUGGUCAAGGAAGGCUUUUGAUACUUAUUUGUGCAUCUUGGAGACUGGAAGAGCAUCAUUAACUUCAUUGUAGAGAGCUGGCAAGGAACCAUCAGGAGCUGCUGGAGGAGAGGCAGCUGUCAGAAAGCAGAGGAUCUGAAACUGGUGAAGGAGAAAUGCUGAAACCAAGUGGAUUCAUAGACUGAACACCCAGUGCUCCAGGAGGAAAACUCAAGAACUGCAGGGACAUCAGGAGCAACAGUGGUCCAUUGUCAGAGACCAGAUCCUGUUGCAUUUAAUUUGCUUGUUAGAUCUGUUUCCUCCAGACUUAACAAAGUUACAAAGGGGAGGAAAAAGGCCUCUAUUGUUAAAGGGCCUUCAAACACAUAAAGCAAACACCUAAAACAAGAGACUAUUGCUUCAUCCACCUCCACUACCGUCAAGAUGGAUGAGAUAGCUCUCUGGAUCCACCACAGCAGAGAGAAGCUGGGGUCUGAAACUGAAAUGCAACUCAAAUAAAGCAACAGCCUACAAACUGCGCAUGUGAAACAAGCGAGUCAGCCAUGAAGAGAUCACCAGAGACGGUGACUACAGAGGAACUCCAGAGGACGACAGCUUUGCCUCCGAUACCCCGGAUGCUGACUGAUUUACACAUGGCCAAAGCUUGAGGAAUCUGCCACAUGAUACAAUAAAUGGGCUGAUCCUU